UAUGAACGCUGGCGGCGUGCCUAAUACAUGCAAGUCGAGCGGCAGCACGGUCUUCGGACUGGUGGCGAGCGGCGGACGGCUGAGUAACGCGUAGGAACGUACCCCAAAGUGAGGGAUAACUGCUCGAAAGAGUAGCUAAUACCGCAUGUGAUCUACGGAUUAAAGCUUCGGCGCUUUGGGAACGGCCUGCGUCUGAUUAGCUAGUUGGUGAGGUAAAAGCUCACCAAGGCGACGACCAGUAGCUGGUCUGAGAGGAUGAUCAGCCAGACUGGGACUGAGACACGGCCCAGACUCCUACGGGAGGCAGCAGUAGGGAAUUUUCCACAAUGGGCGAAAGCCUGAUGGAGCAACGCCGCGUGCAGGAUGAAUGCCUUCGGGUUGUAAACUGCUUUUAUAUGUGACGAUUAUGACGGUAGCAUAUGAAUAAGGAUCGGCUAACUCCGUGCCAGCAGCCGCAGUAA
rnacentral:rRNA from 1 species